rnacentral:rRNA from 1 species
UCUAAUUAAGUUGUCCUGCGGCGAAGAUGUAACGGGGCUCAAGCCAUGAGCCGAAGCUAGGGAUGCAAUUUAUUGCAUGGUAGCGGAGCGUUCUGUGAUAUAGAACGCUGCGUCUUUAGUAUCUUAGGAUAUUUUGGACGCAAUGUUCUGACUGUGAAGCCGGCGCGUAAGCGAUCCGGUGGAGUGAUCAGAAGUGAGAAUGUUGACAUGAGUAGCGACAAACAGGGUGAGAGACCCUGUCGCCGAAAGUCCAAGGGUUCCUGCUUAAAGCUAAUCUGAGCAGGGUAAGCCGACCCCUAAGGCGAGGCCGAAAGGCGUAGUCGAUGGGAACCAGUUUAAUAUUACUGGGCCAGGAGAUGGUGACGGAUCGAAAGCGUAGUGACUCCUUAUCGGAUUGAAGUUGCUGCCGGACGGUUCCUGGAAAUAGCCCUCCAUUAGAUCGUACCCUAAACCAACACAGGUGGACUGGUAGAGAAUACCAAGGCGCUUGAGAGAACUACAUUGAAGGAACUCGGCAAAAUGCCUCCGUAAGUUCGCGAGAAGGAGGCCCCAUCAGAAGGCAACUUUUGGUGGGGGGCACAGACCAGGGGGUGGCGACUGUUUACUAAAAACACAGGGCUCUGCGAAGUCGUAAGACGACGUAUAGGGUCUGACGCCUGCCCGGUGCUGGAAGGUUAAGAGGAGGUGUGCAAGCACUGAAUUGAAGCCCCAGUAAACGGCGGCCGUAACUAUAACGGUCCUAAGGUAGCGAAAUUCCUUGUCGGGUAAGUUCCGACCUGCACGAAUGGCGUAACGACUUCCCCGCUGUCUCCAACAUAGACUCAGUGAAAUUGAAUUGCCUGUCAAGAUGCAGGCUUCCCGCGGUUAGACGGAAAGACCCCGUGCACCUUUACUACAGCUUCACACUGGCAUUAGGUCAGACGUGUGCAGGAUAGGUGGUAGGCUUUGAAACUCGGACGCCAGUUCGGGUGGAGCCUCCCUUGAGAUACCACCCCUGUCUGUCUUGAUGUCUAACCGCGGUCCGUUAUCCGGAUCCGGGACCCUGUGUGGCGGGUAGUUUGACUGGGGCGGUCGCCUCCUAAAGAGUAACGGAGGCGCGCGAUGGUUGGCUCAGACCGGUCGGAAAUCGGUCGUCGAGUGCAAUGGCAUAAGCCAGCCUGACUGUGAGUCUGACAAGACGAGCAGAGACGAAAGUCGGUCAUAGUGAUCCGGUGGUCCCGAGUGGAAGGGCCAUCGCUCAACGGAUAAAAGGUACGCCGGGGAUAACAGGCUGAUACUGCCCAAGAGUCCAUAUCGACGGCAGUGUUUGGCACCUCGAUGUCGGCUCAUCUCAUCCUGGGGCUGGAGCAGGUCCCAAGGGUAUGGCUGUUCGCCAUUUAAAGAGGUACGUGAGCUGGGUUUAGAACGUCGUGAGACAGUUCGGUCCCUAUCUGCCGUGGGUGUAGGAGACUUGAUGGGAGUUGCCCCUAGUACGAGAGGACCGGGGUGAACGAUCCACUGGUGGAUCUGUUGUUGCGCCAGCAGCAGUGCAGAGUAGCUAUGAUCGGACAGGAUAACCGCUGAAGGCAUCUAAGCGGGAAGCCCCCCCAGAAACAAGGUCUCCCUUGAGGGCCGUGGAAGACCACCACGUCGAUAGGUCGGAGAUGUAAGUGCUGUAAAGCAUUCAGUUGACCGAUACUAAUUGCCCGAUAGGCUUGAUU